AGAGUUUGAUCCUGGCUCAGAAUCAACGCUGGCGGCGUGCCUCAGACAUGCAAGUCGAACGCGAAAGUUCCCUUCGGGGAGCGAGUAGAGUGGCGUCCGGGUGAGUAACACGUAGGUAAUCUACCUUUGGGUGGGGAAUAACAACCGGAAACGGUUGCUAAUACCGCAUAAUGCAGCGGCACCGCAUGGUGACAGUUGUUAAAGCGGGGGAUCGCAAGACCUCGCGCCUAAAGAGGAGCCUGUGGCGGAUUAGCUAGUUGGCAGGGUAACGGCCUACCAAGGCAACGAUCCGUAGCCGGCCUGAGAGGGCGGUCGGCCACACUGACACUGAAAUACGGGUCAGACUCCUACGGGAGGCAGCAGUCGGGAAUUUUGGGCAAUGGGCGCAAGCCUGACCCAGCAACGCCGCGUGAAGGAUGAAAUCCCUCGGGAUGUAAACUUCGCAAGAACGGGAAGAAUAAGUCUGUGCGAAUACCACAGAUGAUGACGGUACCGUUUGUAAGCUCCGGCUAACUCCGUGCCAGCAGCCGCGGUAAUACGGGGGGAGCAAGCGUUGUUCGGAUUUACUGGGCGUAAAGGGCGCGUAGGCGGCCAGUGCAAGUCAGUUGUGAAAUCUCCGGGCUUAACUCGGAAAGGUCAACUGAUACUGCUCGGCUAGAGUGCGGAAGGGGCAACUGGAAUUCUUGGUGUAGCGGUGAAAUGCGUAGAUAUCAAGAGGAACACCUGCGGCGAAGGCGGGUUGCUGGGCCGACACUGACGCUGAUGCGCGAAAGCUAGGGGAGCGAACGGGAUUAGAUACCCCGGUAGUCCUAGCCUUAAACGAUGAAUGCUUGGUGUCUGGGGUUAUAAAGUCCCCGGGUGCCGUCGCUAACGCUUUAAGCAUUCCGCCUGGGGAGUACGGUCGCAAGACUGAAACUCAAAGGAAUUGACCG
rnacentral:rRNA from 1 species